GUUGCAUUUAUUGGAGACAGCUGAGAUUACCAGGUGCAUCGAUGCAGCACUUUCUUAGCUGGAAUGAAACUCAGUUCACCAAAUGUGUCUCUGCCGUGCAAACGUUCUGGUCUGGGAGAAGGAUGCCUCAUCACAAGAGUGUUCUCCAUGACGAUGUCGUAGUGAGGCCGACAGAAGACCCUGUUCUCCAGCAGUCCACACUCCUCUCCAGUGGAGAGCUGGCGCUUGCACGAGGCGCAGGAGAAACACGCUAGAUGGAAGGUGCUACCUUUUGCCCGACGCACCCAGUCAGUAGAGUGAAUGUUACGACCACACCGAGCGCAGCGAGUACCAUACCUCCUGAAGAAAACAAGAAAGGAAGGAGUUGGAAAGGGAUUGGCUUCAGUAUGACAUCUGAGAAGAACUGGGCUAACUAAAGCAGGGAGCUUCUUCUGGUUUAAGAAUCGGAUAGUUUGACCUCCACAAGUCAUUUGUGAAGGGCUGAAUGUGAAGCACACUCCCAACAAGAUCCCAGCCGAUUAUGUUCAACUUUGAAAGUUCUUCAUGUCAGACCUGAAGGAGGUAUCUGUCCACAAUUUCCUGGCCGCAGGAGGUGCACAGAGUUUUACCCUGCAACGAGCCCACCAUGGGAACAGAGGAGGAGGAUGAGGAGGAGAAGGAAGAUGGAGAGUAGGAGUCCUCCUCAAAAAGAUCAUCAGACCCAGAGGAGCCCUGUUAAAGAGCAAAGUGUUAUCAACUUUUUUUUUUUGAACAAUUGGCAGAAAUAUCAAAACAAUCUGAAAUUACACCUUUUUGUAAAGUUUCAUUUUUGUAAAAUCUUCAAAUAAUAAAAACCCUCUAAUUUUA